rnacentral:rRNA from 1 species
AACGAACGCUGGCGGCAUGCCUAACACAUGCAAGUCGAACGAGAUCUUCGGGUCUAGUGGCGCACGGGUGCGUAACGCGUGGGAAUCUGCCCUUUGGUUCGGAAUAACAGUUGGAAACGACUGCUAAUACCGGAUGAUGACGAAAGUCCAAAGAUUAUCGCCAGAGGAUGAGCCCGCGUAGGAUUAGCUAGUUGGUGUGGUAAAGGCGCACCAAAGCGACGAUCCUUAGCUGGUCUGAGAGGAUGAUCAGCCACACUGGGACUGAGACACGGCCCAGACUCCUACGGGAGGCAGCAGUGGGGAAUAUUGGACAAUGGGCGAAAGCCUGAUCCAGCAAUGCCGCGUGAGUGAUGAAGGCCUUAGGGUUGUAAAGCUCUUUUACCCGGGAUGAUAAUGACAGUACCGGGAGAAUAAGCUCCGGCUAACUCCGUGCCAGCCGCCGCAGUAA